rnacentral:rRNA from 1 species
AGGUAAGCUACUAAGAGCGAAUGGUGGAUGCCUUGACUGGUAAAGGCGAUGAAGGACGUACUAGACUGCGAUAAGCUACGGGGAGCUGUCAAGAAGCUUUGAUCCGUAGAUUUCCGAAUGGGGCAACCCAAUGUAUAGAGAUAUACAUUACCUAUAUAGGAGCGAACGAGGGGAAUUGAAACAUCUUAGUACCCUCAGGAAAAGAAAUCAAUAGAGAUUGCGUCAGUAGCGGCGAGCGAAAGCGCAAGAGGGCAAACCCAGUGCUUGCACUGGGGGUUGUAGGACUGCAAUGUGCAAGAGGUAAGUUUAGCAGAACAUUCUGGAAAGUAUAACCAUAGAGGGUGAUAGUCCCGUAUGCGAAAAACAAACCUUAGCUAGCAGUAUCCUGAGUAGGGCGGGACACGAGGAAUCCUGUCUGAAUCUGGGUCGACCACGAUCCAACCCUAAAUACUAAUACCAGAUCGAUAGUGCACAAGUACCGUGAGGGAAAGGUGAAAAGAACUGAGGUGAUCAGAGUGAAAUAGAACCUGAAACCAUUUGCUUACAAUCAUUCAGAGCCCUAUGUAGCAAUACAGGGUGAUGGACUGCCUUUUGCAUAAUGAGCCUGCGAGUUGUGGUGUCUGGCAAGGUUAAGCAAACGCGAAGCCGUAGCGAAAGCGAGUCUGAAUAGGGCGCUUAGUCAGAUGCUGCAGACCCGAAACGAAGUGAUCUAUCCAUGAGCAAGUUGAAGCUAGUGUAAGAACUAGUGGAGGACUGAACCCAUAGGCGUUGAAAAGCCCCGGGAUGACUUGUGGAUAGGGGUGAAAGGCCAAUCAAACUUCGUGAUAGCUGGUUCUCUCCGAAAUAUAUUUAGGUAUAGCGUUGUGUCGUAAUAUAAGGGGGUAGAGCACUGAAUGGGCUAGGGCAUACACCAAUGUACCAAACCCUAUCAAACUCCGAAUACCUUAUAUGUAAUCACAGCAGUCAGGCGGCGAGUGAUAAAAUCCGUCGUCAAGAGGGAAACAACCCAGACUACCAGCUAAGGUCCCUAAAUCUUACUUAAGUGGAAAACGAUGUGAAGUUACUUAAACAACCAGGAGGUUGGCUUAGAAGCAGCCAUCCUUUAAAGAAAGCGUAAUAGCUCACUGGUCUAGUGAUUUUGCGCGGAAAAUAUAACGGGGCUAAAGUAAGUACCGAAGCUGUAGACUUAGUUUACUAAGUGGUAGGAGAGCGUUCUAUUUGCGUCGAAGGUAUACCGGUAAGGAGUGCUGGAGCGAAUAGAAGUGAGCAUGCAGGCAUGAGUAGCGAUAAUUAAUGUGAGAAUCAUUAACGCCGUAAACCCAAGGUUUCCUACGCGAUGCUCGUCAUCGUAGGGUUAGUCGGGUCCUAAGUCGAGUCCGAAAGGGGUAGACGAUGGCAAAUUGGUUAAUAUUCCAAUACCAACAUUAGUGUGCGAUGGAAGGACGCUUAGGGCUAAGGGGGCUAGCGGAUGGAAGUGCUAGUCUAAGGUCGUAGGAGGUUAUACAGGCAAAUCCGUAUAACAAUACUCCGAGAACUGAAAGGCUUUUUGAAGUCUUCGGAUGGAUAGAAGAACCCCUGAUGCCGUCGAGCCAAGAAAAGUUUCUAAGUUUAGCUAAUGUUGCCCGUACCGUAAACCGACACAGGUGGGUGGGAUGAGUAUUCUAAGGCGCGUGGAAGAACUCUCUUUAAGGAACUCUGCAAAAUAGCACCGUAUCUUCGGUAUAAGGUGUGGUUAGCUUUGUAUUAGGAUUUACUCCGAAAGCAAGGAAACUUACAACAAAGAGUCCCUCCCGACUGUUUACCAAAAACACAGCACUCUGCUAACUCGUAAGAGGAUGUAUAGGGUGUGACGCCUGCCCGGUGCUCGAAGGUUAAUUGAUGGGGUUAGCAUUAGCGAAGCUCUUGAUCGAAGCCCGAGUAAACGGCGGCCGUAACUAUAACGGUCCUAAGGUAGCGAAAUUCCUUGUCGGUUAAAUACCGACCUGCAUGAAUGGCGUAACGAGAUGGGAGCUGUCUCAAAGAGGGAUCCAGUGAAAUUGUAGUGGAGGUGAAAAUUCCUCCUACCCGCGGCAAGACGGAAAGACCCCGUGGACCUUUACUACAGCUUGACACUGCUACUUGGAUAAGAAUGUGCAGGAUAGGUGGGAGGCUUUGAGUAUAUGACGCCAGUUGUAUAUGAGCCAUUGUUGAGAUACCACUCUUUCUUAUUUGGGUAGCUAACCAGCUUGAGUUAUCCUCAAGUGGGACAAUGUCUGGUGGGUAGUUUGACUGGGGCGGUCGCCUCCCAAAUAAUAACGGAGGCUUACAAAGGUUGGCUCAGAACGGUUGGAAAUCGUUCGUAGAGUAUAAAGG